GUUUGAGGGUGGGUGGGGCAGACGGAAGUGGGCUGGGUUUGCACGGAGACGGAGCUUCUUUGGCAAAACCUCGUUGGCUUUUUGAGGCCCUAGUUUUUGUAUCCUACCUUAAAGAAUCAAAGCCCCACAUGCCUCUACGUCUGGAGAACACAGGCCACCCUGGAAAACUACCUCCACCUGCAGGCGUGAUAUGGUGGUUGACAGCAUUUCUGGAGAAUAGUAAUGAGAUGGCUUAUUACUCUGCCAAGGCUCAGCAAAAUGGAGGAAGCACAAAUUCCUUGCAUACUUGGAUAAUUCACAAACCUCACUGAGGCCUUUAACUGAGAUUUCCAUUCUGCUUCUUUUCCAUUCCCCUCAAAAUCUGGCAGUCGAGUUGCAGUGUUGUUUUUUUUUUUAAGAUAAUUUUAUGGAGGUAUAAUUAACAUACAAUAUAUGGAACAUAUUUAAUGUGUAUAAUUUGAUAAGUUUUGAUGUGUGUAUACUCCCUUGAAGCCAUCACUAUGAUCAAGUAUGUCCAUCAACCUCAAGUUUCCACUUACUCCUUUGUAAUUUCUUCCUCCCUCCCUUCCUCUCUCACCUAAGCAACCACUGAUCUUUCUGUUAGUGUAGA